UAGGGAAUCUUCGGCAAUGGACGAAAGUCUGACCGAGCAACGCCGCGUGAGUGAAGAAGGUUUUCGGAUCGUAAAACUCUGUUGUUAGAGAAGAACAAGGACGUUAGUAACUGAACGUCCCCUGACGGUAUCUAACCAGAAAGCCACGGCUAACUACGUGCCAGCAGCCGCGGUAAUACGUCGGUGGCAAGCGUUGUCCGGAUUUAUUGGGCGUAAAGCGAGCGCAGGCGGUUUCUUAAGUCUGAUGUGAAAGCCCCCGGCUCAACCGGGGAGGGUCAUUGGAAACUGGGAGACUUGAGUGCAGAAGAGGAGAGUGGAAUUCCAUGUGGAGCGGUGAAAUGCGUAGAUAUAUGGAGGAACACCAGUGGCGAAGGCGGCUCUCUGGUCUGUAACUGACGCUGAGGCUCGAAAGCGUGGGGAGCAAACAGG
rnacentral:rRNA from 1 species